rnacentral:lncRNA from 1 species
AUGCACCCAAGGAGAGCGCACGCGUCCAAACCAGGACGAGGUAGGAACCCCGGGCAAAGCCGGGCAAGCGCUGGCUGUUCCCCGACUCCCCUCCUCCCAGCCGGCUGUGUGCCGGGAGCCCUGCGGCGGGCGCAGUCCUCCCUCCUGGGCCUCUCGGCCCCAGUGUUGCCAGCCGUCUGUCUGGUGACCUGCAGAGGAGACCCGAGAAGGUGCCCCAGCCAGGCGAUGGCGGAGUCCGCAGGAGCGCAGGAACCAGACGGCUCCCGGCAGGGACACUCCUGGUGGAGGGAGGGCUCUGUCAGCCCGGCACGGGGAGAGCCGCGUGGGCGUCCAGUGCGGGCAAGCGGAGCCCGGCCCCUCCUGCGGCUGUCCAGGCCGAGGAGGAGCGAGGGCCUCCAGGCCCGGGUGCCUGCCCGCAGCCGCAGCCGCACCCCGGACAGGCGAGCACAAGCGCACAGGCACACAGGGCGCGGGCGGCCUCCUGGCGCUCGCGCUGCCCACGGCCGCCUCAGAGCCGGCCGCCUCAGCCUCAGAACCUGCGGCAGCCAGGCCGAGAGAGGAGAAGGCGAAAGGGCUUCUGGGAAGUGUCGCUCGGGAAAGGGUGUGGCCCCGCGGACCUGUCUGUCAUCUCGGGACCGCCCUGGGGAAGCCUGUUCCCCGGUGGGGGGUGGUGGUGCGGCCUGCUUCUCUCAGCCCCCAAGCCUGGUGGCCCUGGAGCCGGGCUUGAUUCUGAAGUGGCCCGUGUGUGGCCCGGCUGGCUCCCUCCCUGGAAGCCUGGCCUUCAUCCAGGGUGAUUGCCCGGGGUGGGGGUUGGGGGUCCCUCAUGCUGACCCUCGGCGUGCGAUCGUGGCCCUGGUCAGCCGCGGCUGUUUCUGCUCCUGCGUGGAGGCUGACGCCCAAGUCUCAUUCCGUGCGGAGGCGCCGUGUGUGCCCGGAGCCUGGACCCUCCUCCCAUCAUUCUGCAAGGUCCGCUGUCAGCGCAGAGCCCUGUUUGCUGGCAGGGGUGCGUGCCCCUGGGUACCCUGA